UACGGAGGGGGCAAGCGUUGUCCGGAUUUAUUGGGUUUAAAGGGUGCGUAGGUGGGGUCUCAAGUCUGGUUUGAAAGUUAGCUGCUCAACAGUUAGACGUGGCUGGAAACUGGGAUUCUGGAAUGGGUUGGCGGCUGCCGGAACGGGUCAUGUAGCGGUGAAAUGCAUAGAUAUGACCCAGAACACCGAUUGCGAAGGCAGGCAGCUACGACCUGAUUGACACUGAGGCGCGAAAGCUAGGGUAGCAAACGGG
rnacentral:rRNA from 1 species